rnacentral:rRNA from 1 species
GGGAGAGUAACACGUGGAUAUCUGGCCUCCGGAGUGGGAUAGUUGCGGUAAACUGCAGGUAAUACCAGAUAACGUCUUUGGACCAAAAGUGUGAUUCCGACGGCGGAUGAGUACGCGCCCUAUUAGCUAAUUGGUAGGGUAACGGUCUACCAACGCCAUGAUGGGUAGCGGGAUGUGAGAUCAUGGCCCGCCUCACUGGGACUGAGACAGUGACCAGACACCUACGGGUGGGUGGAGUCGAGGAUCUUCGGCAAUGGACGCAAGUCUGACCGAGCGACGCCGCGUGCGGGAUGAAGGCCUUCGGGUUGUAAACCGCUGUCAGAGGGGAGGAAAUGGUAGAGGGUUCUCCCUCUAUCUUGACCUAUCCUCAGAGGAAGUACGGGCUAAGUUCGUGCCAGCAGCCGCGGUAAGACGAACCGUACGAACGUUAUUCGGAAUCACUGGGCUUAAAGGGUGCGUAGGCGGCGCAGAAAGUUGGGUGUGAAAGCCCUCGGCUCAACCGAGGAAUUGCGCUCAAAAAUACUGUGCUUGAGGGAGAUAGAGGUGAGUGGAACUAAGGGUGGAGCGGUGAAAUGCGUUGAUAUCCUUAGGAACACCGGUGGCGAAAGCGACUCACUGGAUCUCUUCUGACGCUGAGGCACGAAAGCUAGGGUAGCGAACGGGAUUAGAUACCCCGGUAGUCCUAGCUGUAAACGAUGAGCACUGGAUCGGAGAGCCCUCCAUAGCUUUCCGGUCGUAGCGAAAGUGUUAAGUGCUCCGCCUGGGGAGUAUGGUCGCAAGGC